UACGUAGGGGGCUAGCGUUGUCCGGAAUCAUUGGGCGUAAAGCGCGCGUAGGCGGCCCGGUAAGUCCGCUGUGAAAGUCAAAGGCUCAACCUUUGAAUGUCAGCGGAUACUGCCGGGCUAGAGUCCGGAAGAGGCGAGUGGAACUCCUGGUGUAGCGGUGGAAUGCGCAGAUAUCAGGAAGAACACCAACGGCGAAGGCAGCUCGCUGGGACGGAACUGACGCUGAGGCGCGAAAGCGUGGGGAGCGAACCGG
rnacentral:rRNA from 1 species